UGGAGAGAGAAGCAGCGCUGUGAGGAGAGAAGUGCAGAGACUCACCGGAGCUCAGCUGCGGAGCUACUGAAGAUGACAGACUGCGGGGCGCGGAGAAUGUCCCGGGCUAAACUGGUGGUGCUCGGCCGGGAUAACUGUGGCAAAACUGCUCUGUGUGUGAGAUUCAUCACCAAGCGUUUCAUUGGAGAGUAUGACCAUAAAAAGGAGGUUACCUACAGGUGCCGCAAAACAGUGGACAAAGAAACGAUUGACCUGGAGAUUUUGGACACAGUUAAUAAGGCCUGUGUAUCUUUUAUCAGAGGCCACUUUCCCAGUAGCCUUUAUGCAACCAUGGAGUACCUGCUGUGGAUCUGGCCAACCUGUGCUGGGGCACAAGUGAAGAUGGAGGAGUGCAUGGGGCCUGCCUCCACCUCUCUGGAGAGUUCCAUCAAAUGGGGGGACGGGUUUUUAAUCAUGUACUCAGUGACGGACCGCAGCAGUUUUGAGGCCGUUUCUCGUCUGAAGAGGCUGAUUGACCACGUUAAACAGACACUUGGAAUCCCCACAGUGAUUGUAGCAAAUAAGAGUGACAUGGAGAACGGGCGUGCUGUUCGGACAGAGGAGGGACAGGCUUUGGCCAGAGAUCUGAGGUGUAGUUUCUUUGAGGUCUCGGUGGCAGAGGGCUCCUCAGCAGUGGAGGCAGCAUUCGGGCAGCUGAUAAGAGAGGUGCGUCUGGAGUUCCAGCGGCAUCUGCUGGCCAUGGAUAAGCGUUCACGUGUGCUGCAGAUGCGCCAUGUGCUGAAGAACAAACUGACACGCAGCAAAACCAUGCAGUGGUGACCAGACUGUUCACAGCUGAUCUCUGCUUUUUCUGGACCACUGCUCUGUCUCUGUGGAUCAGAGAGAUGAUCAGUAUUCUGCUCAAGGACUGCUUGAGAACCAACUUUAAACCACCCAAGGAAAUCCAGGCACUAGCAAGGAAUACAGUGUUUUAAUUUGCAGUGGGAUGUCUGGAAUACCUUUCCCCCCCAAAGUAUAGAACUGUUUAUGGAUACAGAAGUUUACUCUCACUCUCUUGUCCACUCGUGGUGAUGAUGGUGAUGAUGAUUCCACUCACAAAAGCAGAACUUUUACCACUGGAUGUGCUGCAAAGCUAUUGGAAAGCUAACGUUUAUAGAAUCCUGAUUGAGAAGACAAGAUUAAGAAGGACAGUUGUAUCUGAUACUGAACAAGCAUACAAGAAUGAUUGCAGAUUAAUGUGGGUACACAGCUGACAUGGAAAGGCUGGCAUAAUGUCAGUUCUUACAGCUUGAAAUAUCUGGCAACCGCUGAAGCAGACUGAGACCCAGGCAAAUAAACAAUACACAAAUACAGCAGUGCUGGACUUUAUAGUUUUAAUUAGCAAAAUGGUAAAAAUUAAUAAAUACAAAUUGAUCAAAUGCUCCUAAAACAUCCACCUCCUUCAACAUGAAGUAAGACAUGUACCUGUGCAUUUAAAUAAGUUACGAGAGAAAGAACGUGGAGUCUAUGAGGGAAGCAAACAAAUCAACAUCGGGCAGCACCGAACAACCAAGACCGACGAGUAACAGGUAACGUAUAAAGUGUUUAAGUAAAUAAACCAAAAGCAGUCACAUCAUCUUUAAAACCAUUAUGAAAAAAUACUUGACACUUUUGUUUUUUUUUUUACAAGAGAACUAUGUAAAUCGCAUAUUAAACACUUUAUAAAUUGUUCAGCACAUCAGGUGUACCACUGCUAAUUUGUGUGUUAUUUCUGUGCAAUAAUCCAUAUCUGAUUGACUUCCAGUGUCCUUAUGGAUGAAAGGCCUUUGAUUGGGUUGUGUGUGAAUGAGGUAAUGGUCAAAAGGAAGGAGGAGGAUGACGCACAAUAAAAAAAAGAAAGAAAAAAGAAAAGAAGUGCCAACGGAGGACCUGACCGCUCGGCAACAUCCAACUGAACAGAGUGACGAGGGCCAAGCUGAUCAGGAAACCUUUUUUAAACUAUUUUUUUAAUCACUUGAGGGACGGUUGAAAGGACACAAACACUUAUCCUCUAGUGUAAAUAACUCAGAUGCAGACGUUCCACACUUUUGCACACUACAGAUUUAAAAACAUCCAGACACAAAUGUUCAGACCCAUAAGCAAUACCUGGAAUCUGACCCAAACCAC